rnacentral:rRNA from 1 species
GGCUCAGGACGAACGCUGGUGGCGUGCUUAACACAUGCAAGUCGAACGGUGAAGCUCAGCUUGCUGGGUGGAUCAGUGGCGAACGGGUGAGUAACACGUGAGCAACCUGCCCCCUACUUCGGGAUAAGCCUUGGAAACGGGGUCUAAUACCGGAUAUGAACACUUAUCGCAUGGUGGGUGUUGGAAAGUUUUUCGGUGGGGGAUGGGCUCGCGGCCUAUCAGCUUGUUGGUGGGGUAAUGGCCUACCAAGGCGUCGACGGGUAGCCGGCCUGAGAGGGCGACCGGCCACACUGGGACUGAGACACGGCCCAGACUCCUACGGGAGGCAGCAGUGGGGAAUAUUGCACAAUGGGCGAAAGCCUGAUGCAGCGACGCCACGUGAGGGAUGACGGCCUUCGGGUUGUAAACCUCUUUCAGCAGGGAAGAAGCGCAAGUGACGGUACCUGCAGAAGAAGCGCCGGCUAACUACGUGCCAGCAGCCGCGGUAAUACGUAGGGCGCAAGCGUUGUCCGGAAUUAUUGGGCGUAAAGAGCUCGUAGGCGGUCUGUCGCGUCUGGUGUGAAAUCCCAUGGCUCAACUGUGGGCUUGCAUCGGGUACGGGCAGACUAGAGUGCUGUAGGGGAGACUGGAAUUCCUGGUGUAGCGGUGGAAUGCGCAGAUAUCAGGAGGAACACCGAUGGCGAAGGCAGGUCUCUGGGCAGUUACUGACGCUGAGGAGCGAAAGCAUGGGGAGCGAACAGGAUUAGAUACCCUGGUAGUCCAUGCCGUAAACGUUGGGCACUAGGUGUGGGGCGGGUUCCACUCGUUCUGUGCCGUAGCUAACGCAUUAAGUGCCCCGCCUGGGGAGUACGGCCGCAAGGCUAAAACUCAAAGGAAUUGACGGGGGCCCGCACAAGCGGCGGAGCAUGCGGAUUAAUUCGAUGCAACGCGAAGAACCUUACCAAGGCUUGACAUGUACGAGAAAGCCCCAGAGAUGGGGUUCUCUUUGGACACUCGUACACAGGUGGUGCAUGGUUGUCGUCAGCUCGUGUCGUGAGAUGUUGGGUUAAGUCCCGCAACGAGCGCAACCCUUAUCCUAUGUUGCCAGCGGGUUAUGCCGGGGACUCAUGGGAGACUGCCGGGGUCAACUCGGAGGAAGGUGGGGAUGACGUCAAAUCAUCAUGCCCCUUAUGUCUUGGGCUUCACGCAUGCUACAAUGGCCGGUACAGAGGG